GAUGUUGGCUUAGAAGCAGCCAUCAUUUAAAGAAAGCGUAAUAGCUCACUGGUCGAGUCGGCCUGCGCGGAAGAUGUAACGGGGCUAAACCAUGCACCGAAGCUGCGGCAGCGACACUGUGUGUUGUUGGGUAGGGGAGCGUUCUGUAAGCCUGCGAAGGUGGCCUGUGAGGGUUGCUGGAGGUAUCAGAAGUGCGAAUGCUGACAUAAGUAACGAUAAAGCGGGUGAAAAGCCCGCUCGCCGGAAGACCAAGGGUUCCUGUCCAACGUUAAUCGGGGCAGGGUGAGUCGACCCCUAAGGCGAGGCCGAAAGGCGUAGUCGAUGGGAAACGGGUUAAUAUUCCCGUACUUGGUGUUACUGCGAAGGGGGGACGGAGAAGGCUAUGUUGGCCGGGCGACGGUUGUCCCGGUUUAAGCGUGUAGGUGUGUGUUCCAGGUAAAUCCGGUUCACUUUAACACUGAGGCGUGACGACGAGGCACUACGGUGCUGAAGCAACAAAUGCCCUGCUUCCAGGAAAAGCCUCUAAGCAUCAGGUAACAUCAAAUCGUACCCCAAACCGACACAGGUGGUCAGGUAGAGAAUACCAAGGCGCUUGAGAGAACUCGGGUGAAGGAACUAGGCAAAAUGGUGCCGUAACUUCGGGAGAAGGCACGCUGACAUGUAGGUGAAGUGAUUUACUCAUGGAGCUGAAGUCAGUCGAAGAUACCAGCUGGCUGCAACUGUUUAUUAAAAACACAGCACUGUGCAAACACGAAAGUGGACGUAUACGGUGUGACGCCUGCCCGGUGCCGGAAGGUUAAUUGAUGGGGUCAGCGCAAGCGAAGCUCCUGAUCGAAGCCCCGGUAAACGGCGGCCGUAACUAUAACGGUCCUAAGGUAGCGAAAUUCCUUGUCGGGUAAGUUCCGACCUGCACGAAUGGCGUAAUGAUGGCCAGGCUGUCUCCACCCGAGACUCAGUGAAAUUGAACUCGCUGUGAAGAUGCAGUGUACCCGCGGCAAGACGGAAAGACCCCGUGAACCUUUACUAUAGCUUGACACUGAACAUUGAGCCUUGAUGUGUAGGAUAGGUGGGAGGCUUUGAAGUGUGGACGCCAGUCUGCAUGGAGCCGACCUUGAAAUACCACCCUUUAAUGUUUGAUGUUCUAACGUGGACCCGUAAUCCGGGUUGCGGACAGUGUCUGGUGGGUAGUUUGACUGGGGCGGUCUCCUCCUAAAGAGUAACGGAGGAGCACGAAGGUUGGCUAAUCCUGGUCGGACAUCAGGAGGUUAGUGCAAUGGCAUAAGCCAGCUUGACUGCGAGCGUGACGGCGCGAGCAGGUGCGAAAGCAGGUCAUAGUGAUCCGGUGGUUCUGAAUGGAAGGGCCAUCGCUCAACGGAUAAAAGGUACUCCGGGGAUAACAGGCUGAUACCGCCCAAGAGUUCAUAUCGACGGCGGUGUUUGGCACCUCGAUGUCGGCUCAUCACAUCCUGGGGCUGAAGUAGGUCCCAAGGGUAUGGCUGUUCGCCAUUUAAAGUGGUACGCGAGCUGGGUUUAGAACGUCGUGAGACAGUUCGGUCCCUAUCUGCCGUGGGCGCUGGAGAACUGAGGGGGGCUGCUCCUAGUACGAGAGGACCGGAGUGGACGCAUCACUGGUGUUCGGGUUGUCAUGCCAAUGGCACUGCCCGGUAGCUAAAUGCGGAAAAGAUAAGUGCUGAAAGCAUCUAAGCACGAAACUUGCCCCGAGAUGAGUUCUCCCUGAGACUUUAAGUCUCCUGAAGGAACGUUGAAGACGACGACGUUGAUAGGUCGGGUGUGUAAGUGUAGCGAUACAUUGAGCUAACCGAUACUAAUGAACCGUGAGGCUUAACCUUACAACGCCGAAG
rnacentral:rRNA from 1 species